rnacentral:rRNA from 1 species
GUCUACGGCCAUACCACCCUGAAUGCGCCCGAUCUCGUCUGAUCUCGGAAGCUAAGCAGCAUCGGGCCUGGUUAGUACUUGGAUGGGAGGGUCAGUUUUAUAUCAGGUACCUCUUAGGCA